CACUGAUAGAGAUGUGCCUUGCUGUAAUAAGAUGAUGGGCUCAUGACUUAUCUUUCUUGGACAAAACAAGGAAUCUAGCCAUAACUAUGUACAUAUCUGGAUACUCAUCUUUUUUUUCUCAAGCUAUCAUGUCAAGUGUAGAGGAAAUGAUGAUAUACAGAAUAAGGAGAAAGACAUGCUGACAGUACAUCCAGUUCCAAUUUUCAUCAUACUAUGUGCUAAUAUAUGCUCUGAGUGAUAAUAUGCCACCUUGCGCUAUCUACACACGUAACAUGUUCUUCUUUUGUAUAAUUAUACACUAUAAAAUUAUUGUAUGCUUACCUUUGGUGGAAUUUCAGAGUUAAAAGGACAUGAAGAGUUAAUUUUGGUUGUCCUUUGUUUCAUAAAAAAUGUUGGUAUCAUUUAGAACUAUGUUUAUUUGGUGUAACCGGAAUUAAUCACUGGUUAAACAUAUAGAAGGAGUCUCUCUAUUGGAAGGGAAAAAUAUAAUAUUAGACACCAUUUAUUUUUCUGCUCGGUGAUGCAUGCAAUGUAUCAUUUGGCCUUGAUUUAAUGUACUGCACUUUUCUUCAUUGUUCUCUGUUCUUUAAUAAGUCAGACUCAUAUAGAACCUGAUAUUUCUUAGUGAUGUCUUCAAAUCCCAUGAAUGUCAUUUUGCACCGAAGGUUUGUAACCAUUGGGGAAUGUUUUCUUGCUCUGAUGUAUCAAGUUGCCAUGGGGGUGAUCUAGAGGUGAAAGCUAGCAAGCCAUCUCCUGAUAUUUUCCUUACUAGCAAGCUUAAUGCGGAACACUUAUAUUUCAGUACUUGUUUGUUUAAUUGUGUUAUUUAUCUGCAGGUCUCUUCCUUGUCCAAAGUAUGUCGUACCUAAUCAAGACAUGUUCAUUUAAUUUACCCGUCAUGUAAAUGACACAACAUGAUUCACUUGUGUAUAGUGUAAACAUAUAUUUAUUUAUGGCAAGCAGGUGUUCAAAUUAUAGUUGUGAAACGUGUAUAGUGUAAGGAUAUAAUUAUUAAGGGAAGUGACGUCACAGUGGUCGUGCCUGGUCUUCUCCGAGUCUA
rnacentral:lncRNA from 1 species